GUGGUUGGAGGUGCAUAGGAAUGCACCCAUGCACACAAUCCAGAGCUUGCCAUUUUUGUUCAAGCAUUCUACCGUAACUUGCAAAAAGCACCCUUAUUCCCUUUAUAGAGAUCUAACCGGUCAUCCCACCAACAACUCUAGGAUGACAAAGUUUAGGAAGAGCAGGUGGUUGGAGGUGCAUGCCACACAAUCCAGAGCUUGCCUUUUUUGUUUAAACAUUCUACCGUAACUUGCAAAAAGCACCCUUAUUCCCUUUAUGGAGAUCUAACCGGUCAUCCCACCAGCAACUCUAGGAUGGCACAGUUUUCCCAAGCCACAAGUGUUUUUUUAGACUGGUUAGUCCUACCAGUCCAUACUCCACAGGUACUUCCUGCAGACUGAUUCAAUCAUUUGGAUCACCUAUUUUGGUAUUCAGAAUAUUUCAGACCAGUAUAUCUGAAUGGAAAACAAUACACUCUUAAUAAGUUGUAUUCUGCCUGAAUAAGAGAAAUUUAGCAUGGAAUAAUUCCGCCUAACAUCUUAUCAAGUAGCGGUUAACAUUAAGCUUCUUGGAGCUCAAAGGGUAUCCUAGGUAUUUAAAAAACAUAUCAUCCCCAGUUUUGUACCUCUCCAAAGUAAAUGGAACUUUUAUCAGCAUUAAUCUUGAAGCUUAUCUAUUACAUCUAUUACAUAUCCGCACCCCCUACAAAUGGUAUCAGAGCCCAGUAAUUCAAAAAAUACGAAAGUGAGAUAUAUGUUAGUGUUAUUAGAGUUAUUAGAAUUUAUGUUAGAGUUAUUAGAAUUUACCUAUAAAUUAUUAAAUUAAUUAUGCGAAGACCAUUUAAAAAUAGAGAAGCUUUUAGAAAAAUUAAAGAAUCUUUAAUUAGUAAUUAUUCAGAAUAUAUAAGUCUAAAUAAAACAAAAGAAAACCCAGAAAGAUUAGCCUACUUAAUUACAUUAAUAUCUAGUAUUGAAUCAAAAUUAAUAAUCCAUUUAAAAUCUAGGAGAAUGAAACACAUACUACCUAAUUAUGAUAAAAUAAGAUUUAGAUAUCCGCCAAGAUAUUAUAAAUAUAAUUUAAAAUGAAUAAAGUACAACAAUAC
rnacentral:lncRNA from 1 species